CAAUAGCGUAUAUUAAAGUUGUUGCAGUUAAAAAGCUCGUAGUUGGAUUUCUGGUAGGAGUGACCGUUCCGAACUUGAUUGUUCGUGUAUUGUGUUUUCUCCAGCCAUCCUUGUGGAGAACUUUUCUUGCAUUAAUUUGUAGGGAUUGGGACCCGCAUCGUUUACUGUGAAAAAAUUAGAGUGUUUAAAGCAGGCAAUCGCUUGAAUACAUUAGCAUGGAAUAAUAAGAUAGGACUUUGGUACUAUUUUGUUGGUUUGCAUACCAAAUUAAUGAUCAACAGGAACAGUUUGAGGAUAUUCGUAUGAACAUGUCAGAGGUGAAAUUCCUGGAUUUUGAUCAGACGAACUACUGCGAAAGCAUUUAUCAAGGAUGUUUUCAUUAA
rnacentral:rRNA from 1 species